rnacentral:rRNA from 1 species
AUUGAACGCUGGCGGCAGGCCUAACACAUGCAAGUCGAGCGGCAGCGGGACCUUCGGGUUGCCGGCGAGCGGCGGACGGGUGAGUAAUGCCUAGGAAUCUGCCUGUUAGUGGGGGAUAACGCGGGGAAACUCGCGCUAAUACCGCAUACGUCCUACGGGAGAAAGCGGGGGCUCUUCGGACCUCGCGCUAACAGAUGAGCCUAGGUCGGAUUAGCUAGUUGGGGGGGUAAUGGCCCACCGAGGCGACGAUCCGUAACUGGUCUGAGAGGAUGAUCAGUCACACUGGAACUGAGACACGGUCCAGACUCCUACGGGAGGCAGCAGUGGGGAAUAUUGGACAAUGGGCGAAAGCCUGAUCCAGCCAUGCCGCGUGUGUGAAGAAGGUCUUCGGAUUGUAAAGCACUUUAAGUCGGGAGGAAGGGCUGUAGGCUAAUACCUUGCAGUUUUGACGUUACCGACAGAAUAAGCACCGGCUAACUUCGUGCCAGCAGCCGCCGUAA